GCCUGCUUAGCUCAGUGGCAGAGCACUAAUCUUGUAAACUAGGGGUCAUGAGUUCAAUUCUCGUAGGAGGCA
rnacentral:tRNA from 1 species